rnacentral:rRNA from 1 species
UACGUAGGGUGCAAGCGUUAAUCGGAAUUACUGGGCGUAAGGCGUGCGCAGGCGGUUAUGCAAGACAGAUGUGAAAUCCCCGGGCUCAACCUGGGAACUGCAUUUGUGACUGCAUGGCUAGAGUACGGUAGAGGGGGAUGGAAUUCCGCGUGUAGCAGUGAAAUGCGUAGAUAUGCGGAGGAACACCGAUGGCGAAGGCAAUCCCCUGGACCUGUACUGACGCUCAUGCACGAAAGCGUGGGGAGCAAACAGG